UGGGGGCACAGUGCAUGGUUCCACUUGUAAAAAACCUGUUUUAUGAGAAACACACUUGAAAGAAAGAUACUGAUUAUGCUUCAGCUGAAGUAGGAAAGGCAGGAGUAGCAAUCAUGAGCUCAAGCAAAGCAAAAGCAAAAAUAGGCCUAAUUAAAAGAGAUAAUCAGGGAAACUUCAUUUGGCUAAAUAGAUACCAUAGACAAUGAAUUAAUUAACUUGCAUCAACCCUCACACAUAGAAAAGAGCCGAAGGGGCUGAAAAUUCACGAGGAAAGAUCAUAAUGGACAAAAGGGGAAAGACCACUAGGGACAGCAAUAGGGGCUGCCACUUGCAGAGAAGCCCCUUCAGGAAGAUACGCUUUCUUUUUCUUUUUUUUUUUAGAAUGAGAAUUUUUUUUAAAUAACUUUUUUAUUGACAGAACCCAUGCCAGGGUCAUUUUUUACAGCAUUAUCCCUUGCACUCACUUCUGUUCCGACUUUUCCCCUCCCUCCCUCCACCCCCUCCCCCAGAUGGCAAGCAGUCCUUUACAUGUUGAAUAGGUUACAGUAUAUCCUAGAUGCAAUCUAUGUGUGCAGAACCGAACAGUUUUCUUGUUGCACAGGGAGAAUUGGAUUCAGAAGGUAAAAAUAACCCGGGAAGAAAAACAAAACCAGCAUUCACUCUUGCAAAUCCUUGUGUUCCAAUUUUUUUCUCUCCCUCCCCAGCUCCCUUCUCUCCUAGACAGCAAGUAAUUUAAUAUCAAUUCAUCAUGUGCAAUUCUUCUAAGUAUAUUUCUACAAUUACCAAGCUGUACAAGAAAAAUAAGAUCACAAGUGAAAAAAUGAGUAAGAAAAAAUACAAGCUAACAGCAACAGAGAGAGUGAGAAUGCUAUGUUGUGGUCUGCACUCUGUUCCCGUGGUUCUCUCUCUGGGUGUAGAUGGCUCUUUUCAUCACUGAACCCACGGAACUGGUUUGACUCCCAUCAUUGCUGAAGAGAGACACAUCCAUCAGAAUGAUCCUCAUACAGUCUUGUUGUUGAAGUCUAGAAUGAUCUCCUGGUCCUGCUCGUUUCACUCAGCGUCAGUUCCCGUCAGUCUCUCCAGGCCUCCCUGAAAUCCUCCUGCCGGUCAUUUCUUACCGAACAAUAAUAUUCCAUAACAUUCACAUACCACAAUUUAUUCAGCCAUUCUCUGCUGGGCAUCCACUCAGCUUCCAGUUUCUGGCCACCAUGAAACGGGCUGCCACAGACAUUUUGCAUCUAUCUACUCUGGCUUUUCUCCGUCUUCAUUGCCAUCCCUCCAUCCUCUGGGUGCUCCUCAUCUAUCAAUGUGUUCUCCUUUACUCUCUCUGAGCUUCCACCAUUUUCUGUACCUCUUUUGUCCAUAUAGAAAGACUAUAUCCUUUGGAACUUUUUUGGGUGGUUAAGAUGCACAUAUCUGACCACAUGGAAAUGAAUUUUUUUCAUUAUAGCCAGGCCCCUGAUGGUCAGUAAGUAUUUAUUCUGCUCCUCCAUGGCAGCUACUGAGAGUACAAAGAAAGGCACAAGACAGUCCCUGCCCUCAAGGAGCUUGCAGUGUAAUGGCAGAGAGAACAUGAAGACAAAUAUAAACAAAUUACAUGGAGGAGAAGUCGGAAAUAGGCACGGGAAUAACAUGGGGCUGCAGAAGGUUUUCUGUGGGAAGGGAAGAUUUUAUUUGGGAUUUAAAAGGAGCCGGGGAGGUCAGAGUGUGGACCACAACAUAACAUUCUCACUUUUUCUUGUUUGCUCGUAUUUUUUCCUUAUUUUCUUCCCUUUCGCUUUUUCUUGUGCAGCAUGAGAAAUAUAGAAUGUAUGUAUAGAAUGUAGAAAUGUGGAUAGAAUUGCACGUGUCUGACAUAUAUUGGAUUGCUUGCUAUCUAGGGGAGAGGGGGAAGGGGGGAAAUUUAGAGCGUGGGGUUUUUGUAAGAGUGAAUGUUGAAAAUGUGUUUUGAAAAUCAAAAAGCUUUACUAAUAAACAGGAAAAAAAGAAAGUUUCCAUCUUCAAGAAGCUUAUAAUGAAGUAGGGAAAGCCAACAGAAAAAAACUGAAAGGGGGUAAAGGACGAGAGGCUGAUGAGAUCAUCAAGUGAAAGGAUAUCGAGGGAGAACGGGAGAGGGUCUAGGACAGAACCUAGAGGCAUCCAUCCGCACGGUGGUGUGGUCUUUCUGUCUCUUUCUGUCUCUCAGAGUGGUCGGAGAGGGAAAAGAUUCAGGAGAGAAGCAGAAAUACACCAAAAACCUAGAGAGGAGAGCGUCCAGGAGCAUAGACCGGCAGUGACAAAGCAUACAGAGAGAUCAAGGAGAGUGAGGAUGAAGAAAAGGUCACUUGGAUUUGGCGACGAAGAGCUCACCGAUAACUUUGGAGAGAAGUUUCAGUGGAAUAAGCUUGCAAGCCAAAGUAAAAGAGGAAGUCGAGGUGUUUGUGGAAGCGGCCUUGCCGAGGAGUUUGGGUCCAAAGGGUAGGGAGAGUGUGGGAUGGUAGGGAGCAGGGAUGGAGGGAUCCAGAGAGGCCUUUCUCAGGAUGAGGAAGCCAUGGGCACGCUCGUAGGCAGUAAGGGAGAGGCGGGGAGAGGAGCCAAUUCAUGUUCCUGGAUUCCAUUAGCUCUAUGUGGCUCCUCAUUUUCAUUCCUCCUUGACCUGUUAACACUGUAUGUUCAGCCUGCCUGGGACCUUUUGGUCUUUAGCCGGGUCCCUUUCUCCUCUCCUCCACCACCCUCCUCCCCGCAACGAGCACGGGCAGAUCAACUGGGGAAAUGGAUCGGGACAUAGGGUAGUAAAUAGGGCUGUUCCCGGGUGGGGUGGGAGAAGGCAACGCGAUAUAGCGAGCGCGGCCGAGGACCGUGGAGCUCUUGGAAGUACGGUGUAGCCGGCUCGUCGUCACCCACCCAGGGGUACCCGAACGCUCCCGCUCACUACCGCCUUCCGUGAGGGAAAGACCCCAAAGAGAACUCUCUUCUGGGCAUUGGCGCAGCCCGCUUCGGCGAUACUACGUACCAGGUCCGAGGAGACCGUGGCGGCAGGCCUCCCGCCAUCCCGUCACCUUUGCUAACUUGCCGAGUGUGGAGCGAGACGUUAUUUUCAGUGGAACUUCUCCAACGAUUAAUGCUCGGGAGCAAUUUUUCAUGUACUUGGUAAGAGUGUAAAUGUCUUAUUUUGAGACCUUUUGCAAGAUGGUUUUUACAGUUGAGUGUGUUCCUCGUGUAUCUGGGAUGUCAGUUAGCUUCCUUGUGUAAAAAACCAUUUUAUUUUGAAAAGCGUCCACGUCCACCCCUGCAGUCCCUUUUCCUACUCGCCUAGUGCCGAACGCUUCUAUCUAGUUAGAAAAUGUGCUCCCUCCUUCCUUGCCCUCUUCUCGACGAGAGGGCUUUUUACUACAUCACGUGCCAUUGGGGGCUUUUUUUGGGGGGGGGGGCGUCUCUGGAUUAAGAUGACUGGCGGUAUAAUUCCCAUUUCACAAGGCUCUCGGCCAACGGUUGAACGGCAGAUAAAAUCCUCGGCAGUGGGGACUGGGACCCUUUUGGCUUUUCAUAUUUGCUGUUGAAUUGAAGGUAUGAAUGUGGACUAAUUUCCCCCCCUUUGUCACCCAAGCCUCCUGAUCGAGGUACUACUCUGCUCUCCGGUCCCAGCCAGGGUAGAGAUGGAAAUGAGAAAAACUUCUUAGUGUAGAUUGGGGCAGUUAUCAAGGCAGCUAGGUGGCUCAGUGGAUCAGGAGGACCCGAGUUCAAGUUUGGCCUCAGACAUGUAUUAGCUAUGUGACCCUGGACAAGUCACUUCCCCCGUUGAUCUUAAUCCACUGCAGAAGGAAAUGGCAAACUGCUUUGCCAAGAAAACCCCAUGGACGGCACUGAUGUGGUACGGUCCACGGGGUCGGGCAGGACAGAUCGGACGGUAGCUGUGGUCCAGUCUUAGUCCCAAGGGAAGGCCUCCCGCUCCCAUCGCUCCCCAGUCCCCUCCGGUGACCCAGCUUUCCAAGCCGUCUAGUCCACCCGCAAGUUGAGGAACGGUGGAAAACAUGCAGCGGCUCUUAGGGGGAGCCCAUUCCCUCUUUCCUUCCUGAAUUGUUCUCUAGGUCUCCCUGAACCCCCCGGCCCAGAGGCCUUCCCAGAAGCCCCUUGGCUCCCAAAGCAGAGAAGCUGCGACACUGGAGCCGGAGGGAGCCUUCAGACUCCCGGCUGGCCAAGACGACCGGCGGGACUUCCAGAGCGGCCGAUCUGGUGGCUUUAGACCCAGAGCCGUGAAAGUCGCCAGAGACGCGGGUCCUCGUGGUUCCCCUGCCCCUCCCCUUCCGUCGGGCCUCGGCCCUGGCGCAAAAAAGUAGGAACUCCCGGGACCCGGAGGAGAGUUGGAGCAGAACUUUAUUCCCCUUCAGGCGGGAAAGGGAGUGGCAGAUGCAUGUCCCCUCCCCCCAAAAACCUAUCUCGACAAAAUAAAACAAAAAAAUUUAAAAACAAAAACAAAACAAAAAAAUACCCAACUGUUUUCGGAGCCUAAGGACCAGAGAGGUGUUUGGAGCAAGGAGCGGGAAGCAGCCAGCGGGGACACCUCGAUAAGGCGGCGGCCUAGCCUGCGCCAGUAGUACAGCGGCGGUGCCGGGCCGUGUUCUAAGCCCAGAACCGCGUCCCUCCCCC